rnacentral:rRNA from 2 species
UUAAUUGAAGAGUUUGAUCAUGGCUCAGAUUGAACGCUGGCGGCAGGCCUAACACAUGCAAGUCGAGCGGAAACGAGAGGUGCUUGCACCUCGGCGUCAAGCGGCGGACGGGUGAGUAAUGCCUGGGAAUUUGCCCAGUUGUGGGGGAUAACCAUUGGAAACGAUGGCUAAUACCGCAUAAACCCUACGGGGAAAAGGGGAGGCUCUUCGGACUUCUC